GAUUUUGUAAUCAAACCACUUCGCAUUUAUUUUAUAUAACUUCAAUGUUAAGGGGGCACUAGCUGUCAAAUUCAUGAUCACCGAUUUGACUCAAAUUUGAUUUAUAACAAUGUAAAACAUUUAUCCAAACUAUCAAAAGUCUAAAAUAAACAGAUUACAGAGCAUGGGAUAGAUAAUAUAUAGGUUCGUUUCGUGUGUAUUUUAGUCCAGACGCCAUCUAAUUAACUAUCGAUUUGACCUCAGAUGACCAUAUAAGCGAUGUAAACAUAAAUAAAGAUAUGAAUAGAUUAAACCAACACGUGCAAUUGGAUUUUUAUAGGUCUGUUUGAUUUUAUGUUAUAGAUUAAAAAUAGAUGUUUCUCAUUGUUUUUAAC
rnacentral:lncRNA from 1 species